GAUCCUGCUCAGGAUGAACGCUAGCUACAGGCUUAACACAUGCAAGUCGAGGGGCAGCAUGGUCUUAGCUUGCUAAGGCCGAUGGCGACCGGCGCACGGGUGAGUAACACGUAUCCAACCUGCCGUCUACUCUUGGACAGCCUUCUGAAAGGAAGAUUAAUACAAGAUGGCAUCAUGAGUCCGCAUGUUCACAUGAUUAAAAGGUAUUCCGGUAGACGAUGGGG
rnacentral:rRNA from 1 species